GCCUGGGUGGCUCAGUGGUUGAGCAUCUGCCUUGGGCUCAGGUCAUGAUCCCAGGGUCCUGGGAUCGAGUCCCACAUCAGGCU
rnacentral:tRNA from 1 species